rnacentral:tRNA from 1 species
GCGGGUGUCGUAUAACGGCUAAUAUGCCUGCCUUCCAAGCAGGCGCUACCGGUUCGAUUCCGGUCACCCGCACCA